rfam:Felis catus isolate Cinnamon breed Abyssinian chromosome E1, whole genome shotgun sequence.
GCCUGGGUGGCUCAGUCGGUUGAGCGUCCGACUUCGGCUCAGGUCAUGAUCUCACGGUUCGUGGGUUCCAGCCCCAUAUCGGGCU